AUUGAACGCUGGCGGCAUGCCUUACACAUGCAAGUCGAACGGCAGCGGGGGAUAAGCUUGCUUUUCCUGCCGGCGAGUGGCGAACGGGUGAGUAAUACAUCGGAACGUGCCCUGUAGUGGGGGAUAACUAGUCGAAAGAUUAGCUAAUACCGCAUACGACCUGAGGGUGAAAGUGGGGGACCGCAAGGCCUCAUGCUAUAGGAGCGGCCGAUGUCUGAUUAGCUAGUUGGUGGGGUAAUGGCCUACCAAGGCGACGAACAGUAGAUGGUCUGAGAGGACGAUAGGCCACACUGGGACUGAGACACGGCCCAGACUCCGACGGGAGGCAGCAGUGGGGAAUUUUGGACAAUGGGCGAAAGCCUGCUCCAGCAAUGCCGCGGGUGUGAAGAAGGCCUUCGGGUUGUAAAGCACUUUUGUCCGGAAAGAAAUGGCUCUGGUUAAUACCUGGGGUCGAUGACGGUACCGGAAGAAUAAGGACCGGCUAACUACGUGCCAGCAGCCGCAGUAA
rnacentral:rRNA from 1 species